UACGUAGGGUGCAAGCGUUGUCCGGAAUUAUUGGGCGUAAAGAGCUCGUAGGCGGUUUGUUGCGUCGGCUGUGAAAUCCCGAGGCUCAACCUCGGGUCUGCAGUCGAUACGAGCAAACUAGAGUGUUGCAGGGGAGACUGGAAUUCCUGGUGUAGCGGUGAAAUGCGUAGAUAUUGGGAAGAACACCGGUGGCGAAAGCGCCUUGCUGGGUCUGCACUGACACUGAGGGACGAAAGGCUAAGGGGAGCGAAAGGG
rnacentral:rRNA from 1 species